GAUGAACGCUGGCGGCGUGCUUAACACAUGCAAGUCGAACGGAAAGGCUCCUGCUUGCAGGGGUACUCGAGUGGCGAACGGGUGAGUAACACGUGGGUGAUCUGCCCUGCACUUCGGGAUAAGCCUGGGAAACUGGGUCUAAUACCGGAUAGGACGAUGGUUUGGAUGCCAUUGUGGAAAGUUUUUCGGUGUGGGAUGAGCUCGCGGCCUAUCAGCUUGUUGGUGGGGUAAUGGCCUACCAAGGCGUCGACGGGUAGCCGGCCUGAGAGGGUGUACGGCCACAUUGGGACUGAGGUACGGCCAAGACUCCUACGGGAGGCAGCAGUGGGGAAUAUUGCACAAUGGGCGCAAGCCUGAUGCAGCGACGCCGCGUGGGGGAUGACGGCCUUCGGGUUGUAAACUCCUUUCGCUAGGGACGAAGCGUUUUGUGACGGUACCUGGAGAAGAAGCACCGGCUAACUACGUG
rnacentral:rRNA from 1 species